rnacentral:rRNA from 1 species
AUCAUGGCUCAGGAUGAACGCUGGCGGCGUGCCUAAUACAUGCAAGUCGAACGCACGACAUUGGAAGCUUGCUUCUAAUGAAGUGAGUGGCGAACGGGUGAGUAAUACAUAAAUAAUCUGCCCUAAUGACUGGGAUAACUUCUGGAAACGGAAGCUAAUACUGGAUGUAAUAUGAUUUGGUAGCAAUUGAUAUGAAAAGGAUGGGCAAUACGACCAUCGCAUUAGGAUGAGUUUAUGGUGCAUUAGCUAGUUGGUGGGGUAAGGGCCUACCAAGGCGAUGAUGCAUAGCCGACCUGAGAGGGUGACCGGCCACACUGGGACUGAGACACGGCCCAGACUCCUACGGGAGGCAGCAGUAGGGAAUUUUCGGCAAUGGAGGGAACUCUGACCGAGCGACGCCGCGUGAGUGAAGACGGCCUUCGGGUUGUAAAGCUCUGUUAUCAGGGAAGAAUGCUCAUGACAGGAAAUGGUCAUGGGGUGACGGUACCUGAUCAGAAAGUCACGGCUAACUACGUGCCAGCAGCCGCGGUAAUACGUAGGUGACAAGCGUUAUCCGGAAUUAUUGGGCGUAAAGGGUGCGUAGGCGGCUAAUUAAGUACAAGGUUAAAGUUCAGAGCUCAACUCUGUGAUGCCUUGUAAACUGGUUGGCUAGAGUACAGGAGAGGUGAGUGGAAUUCCAUGUGUAGCGGUAAAAUGCGUAGAGAUAUGGAGGAACACCAGUGGCGAAGGCGGCUCACUGGCCUGUAACUGACGCUGAGGCACGAAAGCGUGGGGAGCAAAUAGGAUUAGAUACCCUAGUAGUCCACGCCGUAACGAUGAAUACUAAGUGUUGG